rnacentral:rRNA from 1 species
CUGGCGGCGUGCCUAAUACAUGCAAGUCGAGCGAACAGACGAGGAGCUUGCUCCUCUGACGUUAGCGGCGGACGGGUGAGUAACACGUGGAUAACCUACCUAUAAGACUGGGAUAACUUCGGGAAACCGGAGCUAAUACCGGAUAAUAUAUUGAACCGCAUGGUUCAAUAGUGAAAGACGGUUUUGCUGUCACUUAUAGAUGGAUCCGCGCCGCAUUAGCUAGUUGGUAAGGUAACGGCUUACCAAGGCAACGAUGCGUAGCCGACCUGAGAGGGUGAUCGGCCACACUGGAACUGAGACACGGUCCAGACUCCUACGGGAGGCAGCAGUAGGGAAUCUUCCGCAAUGGGCGAAAGCCUGACGGAGCAACGCCGCGUGAGUGAUGAAGGUCUUCGGAUCGUAAAACUCUGUUAUUAGGGAAGAACAAAUGUGUAAGUAACUAUGCACGUCUUGACGGUAC